rnacentral:rRNA from 1 species
UACGUAUGGUGCAAGCGUUGCUCGGAUUUACUGGGCGUAAAGCGCGCACAGGUGGUCUGAUAAGUCAAAGAUGAAAUCUCGGGGCUUAACCCCGGGGCGCUCUUUGAUACUGUCAGGCUUGAGUACAGGAGAGGAGGGUAGAAUUCCUGGUGUAGCGGUGGAAUGCGUAGAUAUCAGGAGGAAUACCAGUGGCGAAGGCGACCCUCUGGACUGUCACUGACACUUAAGCGCGAGAGCGUGGGUAGCAAACAGG